GUAUUAAUUGCAUAUUAUUGCAAGAGACAUUCUACACUGUAUCGAGUUUGUGUGAAAACGUGAGCCCUCCUGCAAAGGGGGGACCCGCGCGGUGAUGCACAAAGGGGUGAGAUGGAUUUUGUGCGAGAGCGCUCGGGCGUGCACGACCUUUGAAGGUCAGCGACAGCCCUCGCACCUCGGUUGUACGAUAAUGAUCCUUCCGCAGGUUCACCUACGGAAA
rnacentral:misc_RNA from 1 species